rnacentral:rRNA from 1 species
UACGUAGGGGGCGAGCGUUGUCCGAAGUUACUGGGCGUAAAGCGCGCGUAGGCGGUCUAUUAAGUCUGAGGUGAAAGGUUCAACGCUCAACGUGAACAGUGCCUUGGAUACUGGUAGACUUGAGUGUGGCAGAGGAGUAUGGAAUUCCUGGUGUAGCGGUGAAAUGCGUAGAUAUCAGGAGGAACACCUGCGGUGUAGACGGCUUUCUGGACCAUUGUUGACGCUGAGACACGAAAGCGUGGGUAGCAAACAGG